rnacentral:rRNA from 1 species
GUGGAUUAGUGGCGAACGGGUGAGUAACACGUGAGUAACCUGCCCUUAACUCUGGGAUAAGCCUGGGAAACUGGGUCUAAUACCGGAUAGGAGCGUCCACCGCAUGGUGGGUGUUGGAAAGAUUUAUCGGUUUUGGAUGGACUCGCGGCCUAUCAGCUUGUUGGUGAGGUAAUGGCUCACCAAGGCGACGACGGGUAGCCGGCCUGAGAGGGUGACCGGCCACACUGGGACUGAGACACGGCCCAGACUCCUACGGGAGGCAGCAGUGGGGAAUAUUGCACAAUGGGCGCAAGCCUGAUGCAGCGACGCCGCGUGAGGGAUGACGGCCUUCGGGUUGUAAACCUCUUUCAGUAGGGAAGAAGCGAAAGUGACGGUACCUGCAGAAGAAGCACCGGCUAACUACGUGCCAGCAGCCGCGGUAAUACGUAGGGUGCGAGCGUUAUCCGGAAUUAUUGGGCGUAAAGAGCUCGUAGGCGGUUUGUCGCGUCUGUCGUGAAAGUCCGGGGCUUAACCCCGGAUCUGCGGUGGGUACGGGCAGACUAGAGUGCAGUAGGGGAGACUGGAAUUCCUGGUGUAGCGGUGGAAUGCGCAGAUAUCAGGAGGAACACCGAUGGCGAAGGCAGGUCUCUGGGCUGUAACUGACGCUGAGGAGCGAAAGCAUGGGGAGCGAACAGGAUUAGAUACCCUGGUAGUCCAUGCCGUAAACGUUGGGCACUAGGUGUGGGGACCAUUCCACGGUUUCCGCGCCGCAGCUAACGCAUUAAGUGCCCCGCCUGGGGAGUACGGCCGCAAGGCUAAAACUCAAAGGAAUUGACGGGGGCCCGCACAAGCGGCGGAGCAUGCGGAUUAAUUCGAUGCAACGCGAAGAACCUUACCAAGGCUUGACAUGUUCUCGAUCGCCGUAGAGAUACGGUUUCCCCUUUGGGGCGGGUUCACAGGUGGUGCAUGGUUGUCGUCAGCUCGUGUCGUGAGAUGUUGGGUUAAGUCCCGCAACGAGCGCAACCCUCGUUCCAUGUUGCCAGCACGUAAUGGUGGGGACUCAUGGGAGACUGCCGGGGUCAACUCGGAGGAAGGUGAGGACGACGUCAAAUCAUCAUGCCCCUUAUGUCUURGGCUUCACGCAUGCUACAAUGGCCGGUACAAUGGGUUGCGAUACUGUGAGGUGGAGCUAAUCCCAAAAAGCCGGUCUCAGUUCGGAUUGGGGUCUGCAACUCGACCCCAUGAA